rnacentral:rRNA from 1 species
AGUGAACGCUGGCGGUAGGCCUAACACAUGCAAGUCGAACGGCAGCACAGUAAGAGCUUGCUCUUACGGGUGGCGAGUGGCGGACGGGUGAGGAAUACAUCGGAAUCUACUUUUUCGUGGGGGAUAACGUAGGGAAACUUACGCUAAUACCGCAUACGACCUACGGGUGAAAGCAGGGGAUCUUCGGACCUUGCGCGAUUGAAUGAGCCGAUGUCGGAUUAGCUAGUUGGCGGGGUAAAGGCCCACCAAGGCGACGAUCCGUAGCUGGUCUGAGAGGAUGAUCAGCCACACUGGGACUGAGACACGGUCCAGACUACUACGGGAGGCAGCAGUGGGGAAUAUUGGACAAUGGGCGCAAGCCUGAUCCAGCCAUACCGCGUGGGUGAAGAAGGCCUUCGGGUUGUAAAGCCCUUUUGUUGGGAAAGAAAAGCAGCAGGUUAAUACCCCGCUGUUCUGACGGUACCCAAAGAAUAAGCACCGGCUAACUUCGUG